rnacentral:rRNA from 1 species
ACAGAGGGUGCAAACGUUGUUCGGAAUCACUGGGCAUAAAGCGCGCGUAGGCGGUUCGCUAAGUCAGGUGUGAAAGCCCUCGGCUCAACCGAGGAAUGGCAUCUGAUACUGGCGAGCUCGAGGAUGGCAGGGUGAGCGGAACUCCAGGUGGAGCGGUGAAAUGCGUAGAUAUCUGGAGGAACACCGGUGGCGAAAGCGGCUCACUGGACCAUAUCUGACGCUGAGGUGCGAAAGCGUGGGGAGCAAACGGGA